rnacentral:tRNA from 1 species
GGGGAUAUAGCUCAGUGGUAGAGCAUUCGACUGCAGAUCGAGAGGUCCCUGGUUCGAACUCGGGUAUCUCAU